AAGCUCAAAUUUGAAAUCCCCCGGGAAUUGUAAUUUGAAGAGAUUUGGGUCCGGCCGGCAGGGGUUAAGUCCACUGGAAAGUGGCGCCACAGAGGGUGACAGCCCCGUGAACCCCUUUAACGCCUUCAUCCCAGAUCUCCAAGAGUCGAGUUGUUUGGGAAUGCAGCUCUAAGUGGGUGGUAAAUUCCAUCUAAAGCUAAAUACCGGCGAGAGACCGAUAGCGAACAAGUACAGUGAUGGAAAGAUGAAAAGCACUUUGAAAAGAGAGUGAAAAAGUACGUGAAAUUGUUGAAAGGGAAGGGCUUGCAAGCAGACACUUAACUGGGCCAGCAUCGGGGCGGCGGGGAGCAAAACCACCGGGGAAUGUACCUUUCGAGGAUUAUAACCCCGGUCCUUACUCCCUCACCAUCCCGAGGCCUGCAAUCUAAGGAUGCUGGCGUAAUGGUUGCAAGUCGCCCGUC
rnacentral:rRNA from 1 species